rnacentral:rRNA from 1 species
GACGAACGCUGGCGGCGUGCUUAACACAUGCGAGUCGAACGGAAAGGCCCUGCUUUUGUGGGGUGCUCGAGUGGCGAACGGGGGAGUAACACGUGAGUAACCUGCCCUUGACUUUGGGAUAACUUCAGGAAACUGGGGCUAAUACCGGGUAGGUGCUCCUGCUGCAUGGUGGGGGUUGGAAAGUUUCGGCGGUUGGGGAUGGACUGGCGGCUUAUCAGCUUGUUGGUGGGGUAGUGGCUUACCAAGGCUUUGACGGGUAGCCGGCCUGAGAGGGUGACCGGCCACAUUGGGACUGAGAUACGGCCCAGACGCCUACGGGAGGCAGCAGUGGGGAAUAUUGCACAAUGGGCGGAAGCCUGAUGCAGCAACGCCGCGUGCGGGAUGACGGCCUUCGGGUUGUAAACCGCUUUCGCCGGUGACGAAGCGUGAGUGACGGUAAUGGGUAAAGAAGCACCGGCUAACUACGUG